rnacentral:rRNA from 1 species
UACGAAGGGGGCUAGCGUUGUUCGGAUUUACUGGGCGUAAAGCGCACGUAGGCGGGUUGUUAAGUCAGGGGUGAAAUCCUGGAGCUCAACUCCAGAACUGCCUUUGAUACUGGCAACCUAGAGGCUGGAAGAGGUUAGUGGAAUUCCCAGUGUAGAGGUGAAAUUCGUAGAUAUUAGGAAGAACACCAGUGGCGAAGGCGGCCCACUGGUCCGGUACUGACGCUGAGGUGCGAAAGCGUGGGGAGCAAACAGG